rnacentral:rRNA from 1 species
UACGUAGGCAGCAAGCGUUGUUCGGAGUUACUGGGCGUAAAGGGUGCGUAGGCGGCCCUGUAAGUAUGGUGUGAAAUCUCCCGGCUUAACUGGGAGGGUGCGCUAUAGACUGCGGGGCUCGAGUGUGGGAGAGGAAAGUGGAAUUCCUGGUGUAGCGGUGAAAUGCGUAGAUAUCAGGAGGAACACCGGUGGUGUAAACGGCUUUCUGGACCAUAACUGACGCUGAGGCACGAAAGCGUGGGGAGCGAACAGG